AUGUCAGAGUCCUUGUACAAGGUCACCUGAAGAGAGAAAAUGGGAUGUGAAUAUUUAGCUGGGGUGGAGACUUUUCCUUCUGCAACUUCUUGAUGAACAAUCUUUUCACACGAAUUUAGUCACAUCAUGAUUUGUAAUAUCAGCAUCAGUCAGCUCCCUGCACCAAUCCUGCAGCCUUUUUUUCCCACUCCAAGAAUAUCUUUGGACUUUAUGAAUUCCCAACCAAAGCUGAAAAAGGAGGAGAACUGGAACGUCUGGGUCCUCCCUCCCUCCUUUUCAGUCGUCAUCAGGGGGAUAUAGGAGAGAACUUCCUCAAGGAAUUGCCGAUGCCUGAUAUUACGAAGAGGCUGGGACAAGGAA
rnacentral:lncRNA from 1 species